UGGGGAAUAUUGGACAAUGGGCGAACGCCUGAUCCAGCCAUGCCGCGUGUGUGAAGAAGGUCUUCGGAUUGUAAAGUACUUUAAGUUGGGAGGAAGGGCAUUAACCUAAUACGUUAGUGUUUUGACGUUACCGCCAGAAUAAGCACCGGCUAACUCUGUGCCAGCAGCCGCGGUAAUACAGAGGGUGCAAGCGUUAAUCGGAAUUACUGGGCGUAAAGCGCGCGUAGGUGGUUUGUUAAGUUGGAUGUGAAAUCCCCGGGCUCAACCUGGGAACUGCAUUCAAAACUGACUGACUAGAGUAUGGUAGAGGGUGGUGGAAUUUCCUGUGUAGCGGUGAAAUGCGUAGAUAUAGGAAGGAACACCAGUGGCGAAGGCGACCACCUGGACUAAUACUGACACUGAGGUGCGAAAGCGUGGGGAGCAAACA
rnacentral:rRNA from 1 species